rnacentral:rRNA from 1 species
GUCCCCAGCGUUACCCGGAUUUACUGGGCGUAAAGGACGAGAAGGCGGGAACGUAAGUUUACCCUAAAAGUCACCGAGCUCAACUCGGUGAAUGGGGUAAAUACUGCGUUCCUAGAGUCUGCCAGGGGCCAGCGGAACGGUCGGUGUAGGGGUGAAAUCCGAUGAUAUCGACCGGAACGCCGAAGGCGAAGGCAGCUGGCUAGGGCAGUACUGACGCUGAUCUCGUGAAAGCCAG